CAAAUUUAAAAUCUACCUGGUUUCCAGGUCGAGUUGUAAUUUGAAGAUACGUUUUUGACGUUCCGGGUUGAACUAAAUCCUUUGGGAUAAGGUAUCAUGGAGGGUGAGAAUCCCGUAUAUACCAACCRUAGGGAUGUUAUUUAAUACSUUUCUAAGARUCSAGUUGUUUGGGAAUGCAGCUCUAAAUGGGUGGUAAAUUUCACCUAAUGCUAAAUAUAAGCGAGAGACCGAUAGSGAACAAGUACAGUGAUGGAAAGAUGAAAAGAACUUUGAAAAGAGAGUUAAAUAGUAYGUGAAAUUGUUGAAAGGGAAACGAUUGAAGUCGGUCGUGCCRGUGGGAAUCAACUUWGAGGAAACUCUGAGUGCACUUYUUCSCUUGGCAGGUCAACGUYSAUUUUGGAUGUCAUAAAAUGAUUGGGGGAAGGUAGCYYYYUYGGGAGUGUUAUAGCCCUUGGUAGAUGUGAUGUCUGGGAUCGAGGAUUGCAAUGGAUACCCUUUGGGGCUAGYCGCCUGAUCUCUAAUYGGUAUUGGGUUACGGAUAGCAUGCUGACCGUGAUCUAAUUAUUGGUUAAAAGGUUAG
rnacentral:rRNA from 1 species